ACGGGUAGCCGGCCUGAGAGGGCGACCGGCCACACUGGGACUGAAACACGGCCCAGACUCCUGCGGGAGGCAGCAGUGGGGAAUAUUGCGCAAUGGGCGAAAGCCUGACGCAGCGACGCCGCGUGGGGGAUGACGGCCUUCGGGUUGUAAACCUCUUUUACCACCAACGCAGGCUCGAAGUUUUCUUCGGGUUGACGGUAGGUGGGGAAUAAGGACCGGCUAACUACGUGCCAGCAGCCGCGGUAAUACGUAGGGUCCGAGCGUUGUCCGGAAUUAUUGGGCGUAAAGAGCUCGUAGGCGGCGUGUCGCGUCUGCUGUGAAAGACCGGGGCUUAACUCCGGUUCUGCAGUGGAUACGGGCAUGCUAGAGGUAGGUAGGGGAGACUGGAAUUCCUGGUGUAGCGGUGAAAUGCGCAGAUAUCAGGAGGAACACCGGUGGCGAAGGCGGGUCUCUGGGCCUUACCUGACGCUGAGGAGCGAAAGCAUGGGGAGCGAACAGGAUUAGAUACCCUGGUAGUCCAUGCCGUAAACGUUGGGCGCUAGGUGUGGGGACUUUCCACGGUUUCCGCGCCGUAGCUAACGCAUUAAGCGCCCCGCCUGGGGAGUACGGCCGCAAGGCUAAAACUCAAAGGAAUUGACGGGGGCCCGCACAAGCGGCGGAGCAUGUUGCUUAAUUCGACGCAACGCGAAGAACCUUACCAAGGUUUGACAUCACCCGUGGACUCGCAGAGAUGUGAGGUCAUUUAGUUGGCGGGUGACAGGUGGUGCAUGGCUGUCGUCAGCUCGUGUCGUGAGAUGUUGGGUUAAGUCCCGCAACGAGCGCAACCCUUGUUCCAUGUUGCCAGCACGUAAUGGUGGGGACUCAUGGGAGACUGCCGGGGUCAACUCGGAGGAAGGUGGGGAUGACGUCAAGUCAUCAUGCCCCUUAUGUCUUGGGCUGCAAACAUGCUACAAUGGCCGGUACAAUGGGCGUGCGAUACCGUAAGGUGGAGCGAAUCCCUAAAAGCCGGUCUCAGUUCGGAUUGGGGUUGCAACUCGACCCCAUGAAGGUGGAGUCGCUAG
rnacentral:rRNA from 1 species